ACCUUCUGUUUUCAGCUUUCCUCAUGAGAAUUCAGUCGCCUGUGGUACCUUGUUGUAGUAAAUUAGAGCUAACUGGUGGGAAGUGGCUACUGCUCUCACACACACAUCAUCUCUGUGAGCCUCCAGGAGGAUCUGGGAGAUUUGCUGCAAACAAGAAGGAAAUCGGGUGCACACGUCCUCCACAACCUUUCCUCUGCUGAAGACUAAGAUGGCCACUUGCGGGUCAUGUUUCUGGUGCAUCAUAUGGCUCAUUAUUCUGCUGUGCAUUGGGUGGCCCAUCAGCAUCACCUUAGGGGGUCUCUACGGCCUCUUCAGCCCCCUCACCACCUGCCUCGGCCUGGACCGACUGUCCGAUUUACUUCUGGAGGGAGCCAAUGUUGGAAGAACCUGUGCCAAUAACAUGAGGCACAGCAAGCCUUUGUGCUGAAAUCCACCCUUUCUGAUCGAGACCAGACAGAACAGAGGUCGAAGGUAGAAAGAGAACAGGCUUCACCUCAGGAAGAACUGCUAAUGUCUGAUUUAUGCGGAACUAUUCCAACACAACUGGCAAACAAGCCACUGAGAAACUUUCUAGCAACUUAUGUCCACAAGUCCUGGAAAAUGGAUUCCUCUCUUACUGGUAACAUGUAAUUAACUACAGAUUUGAAAUUUCCAUAGGUUUGUCAGGAAGAAAAUAGGCUUGUUGUUCAUGGUCUGUGUUUGCUGUUUAAUUUAUGAUGACACUGCAUGGAGAAGAUAAGAAUGAAAAUGGCAAUUUAAACAAUGGAAAUAUUUAGACUUGGAAAUGUCUUUAUGGAAAUGCGAUUAAAACUGCUUUGAACUUGC